rnacentral:rRNA from 1 species
UACGGAGGGAGCUAGCGUUGUUCGGAAUUACUGGGCGUAAAGCGCUCGUAGGCGGCUUUUUAAGUCAGGGGUGAAAUCCCGGGGCUCAACCCCGGAACUGCCCUUGAAACUGGAGAGCUAGAAUCUUGGAGAGGCGAGUGGAAUUCCGAGUGUAGAGGUGAAAUUCGUAGAUAUUCGGAAGAACACCAGUGGCGAAGGCGACUCGCUGGACAAGUAUUGACGCUGAGGUGCGAAAGCGUGGGGAGCAAACAGG